UGGGGAAUAUUGGACAAUGGGCGCAAGCCUGAUCCAGCCAUACCGCGUGGGUGAAGAAGGCCUUCGGGUUGUAAAGCCCUUUUGUUGGGAAAGAAAUCCAGCUGGUUAAUACCCGGUUGGGAUGACGGUACCCAAAGAAUAAGCACCGGCUAACUUCGUGCCAGCAGCCGCGGUAAUACGAAGGGUGCAAGCGUUACUCGGAAUUACUGGGCGUAAAGCGUGCGUAGGUGGUCGUUUAAGUCCGUUGUGAAAGCCCUUGGCUCAACCUGGGAACUGCAGUGGAUACUGGGCGACUAGAAUGUGGUAGAGGGUAGCGGAAUUCCUGGUGUAGCAGUGAAAUGCGUAGAGAUCAGGAGGAACAUCCAUGGCGAAGGCAGCUACCUGGACCAACAUUGACACUGAGGCACGAAAGCGUGGGGAGCAAACA
rnacentral:rRNA from 1 species